AACGAACGCUGGCGGCAUGCCUAACACAUGCAAGUCGAACGAGACCUUCGGGUCUAGUGGCGCACGGGUGCGUAACGCGUGGGAACCUGCCCUUAGGUUCGGAAUAACUCCCCGAAAGGGGUGCUAAUACCGGAUAAUGUCUUCGGACCAAAGAUUUAUCGCCUUUGGAGGGGCCCGCGUUGGAUUAGCUGGUUGGUAGGGUAAAAGCCUACCAAGGCGACGAUCCAUAGCUGGUCUGAGAGGAUGAUCAGCCACACUGGGACUGAGACACGGCCCAGACUCCUACGGGAGGCAGCAGUGGGGAAUAUUGGACAAUGGGCGAAAGCCUGAUCCAGCAAUGCCGCGUGAGUGAUGAAGGCCGUAGGGUUGUAAAGCUCUUUUACCCGGGAUGAUAAUGACAGUACCGGGAGAAUAAGCUCCGGCUAACUCCGUG
rnacentral:rRNA from 1 species